UGGGGCGAGACCUCCAUCAAUGCAUGUCGACCGGAUGAUGGGAGCUUGCUCCCUGAUUCAGCGGAGGACGGGUGAUUAACGCCUAUGAAUCUGCCUGGUCCUGGGGGACUUCCUCACGAAUGGGACGCUACUACCGCAUACGUCCUACGGGAGAAAGCAGGGGACCUUCGGGCCUUGCACUAUCCGAUGAUCCUAUGUCGGAUUAUCUAUUUGGCGAGGUAAUGGCUCACCCACGGUGCUAUCCGUAACUGGUCUGAGAGGAUGAUCCGUCACACUGGCACUGAGACACGGUCCAAACUCCUACGGGAGGCAGCUGUGGGGAAUAUUGGUCAAUGGGCGAAAGCCUGAUCCAGCCCUGCCGCGUGUGUGAAAAAGGUCUUCCGAUUGUCGAGCCCUUUAAAUUGGGAGGAAGGGCAGUAAGUUAAUACCUUGCUGUUUUGACGUUACCGACACAAUAAGCACCGGCUAACUUCUUGCCAGCUUCCGCGGUGAUACAGAGGGGGCAAGCGUUUAUCGGAAUUUCUGGGCGUAAAACGCGCGUACGUGGUUUGUUAAGUCCCAAGUGAAAUCCCCGGGAUCAAACUGUGGAACUGCUUUCCCCACUGGCGAUCUAUAGUAUGGCUCAGGGUGGCGCAAAUUCCCUGUGUAGCCCCGAAAUGCGUACAUAUCCGAAUGAACACCGGUGUCGAAAGGGAUCUCAUGUGGUUUUACUCCCACUGAGGUGCGCACACGUGUGGGAGAUAAAACCAGUAGAGAUCCUUUGGGUACACGGCUGUUAUCUAAGUUUAACUACAUGUUUGGGCGCCUCCAGAAGAAUAAUGCCGCACUACUUCCGCCAUUCAUUCAAUCGUGCCCGUUUGUAGUAAAGGCUGCUCCGCUUGAUUAACCCCGUGAUGUUUUUUUGUCGGCGCUGCCCAAAAACACCUGGAGCACGCUGGUUUGUUUUCAUAAUCAUAUACCAAAAAAACAAAUCUCACUCCCCUUGUCAUUUACCAACGAAGAAUUUCUCUGAAAAAUGAAAUUGGUUGCCGUUCUUUUACCUGUGAACAAUACAAAGACAAGCACGGAAGGUGGAUCUAACUCUGCGGCUCUGUUGCAGGUUG
rnacentral:rRNA from 2 species